AAUCAACGCUGGCGGCGUGCCUCAGACAUGCAAGUCGAACGAGAAAGUCCCCUUCGGGGGAUAAGUAAAGUGGCGCACGGGUGAGUAACACGUAGGUAAUCUACCUUCGGGUGGGGAAUAACCCAGGGAAACUUGGGCUAACACCGCAUAAUGCAGCGGCACCACAUGGUGACAGUUGUUAAAGCGGGGGAUUUUCGGACCUCGCGCCUGAAGAGGAGCCUGCGGCGGAUUAGCAGUUGGUAAGGUAACGGCUUACCAAGGCAACGAUCCGUAGCCGGCCUGAGAGGGGCGGUCGGCCACACUGACACUGACAUACGGGUCAGACUCCUACGGGAGGCAGCAGUCGGGAAUUUUGGGCAAUGGGCGAAAGACCUGACCCAGCAACGCCGCGUGAAGGA
rnacentral:rRNA from 1 species